rnacentral:tRNA from 1 species
GCGCUUGUAGCUCAGUUGGAUAGAGCACCGGCCUUCUAAGCCGGUUGUCAAGGGUUCGAGUCCCUUCGGGCGCGCCA